GAUGAACGCUGGCGGCGCGCCUAACACAUGCAAGUCGAACGAUUAAAGCACCUUCGGGUGUGUAUAAAGUGGCGAACGGCUGAGUAACACGUGGGCAACCUGCCCCUCUCAUUGGGAUAGCCACGGGAAACCGUGGAUAAUACCGAAUACUUCGGGACUUCCGCAUGGAAGACUCGAGAAAGCUCCGGCGGAGAGGGAUGGGCCCGCGGCCUGUUAGCUUGUUGGUGGGGUAAUGGCCUACCAAGGCAAUGAUGGGUAGCUGGGUUGAGAGACCGACCAGCCAGAUUGGGACUGAGACACGGCCCAGACUCCUACGGGAGGCAGCAGUGGGGAAUCUUGCACAAUGGGCGAAAGCCUGAUGCAGCGACGCCGCGUGCGGGAUGAAGGCCUUCGGGUUGUAAACCGCUUUCAGCAGGGACGAGGCGAAAGUGACGGUACCUGCAGAGGAAGCCCCGGCUAACUACGUG
rnacentral:rRNA from 1 species